rnacentral:rRNA from 1 species
GAUCAUGGCUCAGAACGAACGCUGGCGGCAUGGAUUAGGCAUGCAAGUCGAACGAAGCAGCAAUGCUUAGUGGCGGAAGGGUGAGGAACGCGUGAGUAAUCUGCCCUCAAGUUGGGAAUAACAGCUGGAAACGGCUGCUAAUACCGAAUGUGGCUGCAAGACCGCAUGAUUUUGCAGUUAAAGAUUUAUUGCUUGAGGAUGAGCUCGCGUCCCAUUAGCUAGUUGGUGAGGCAACGGCUCACCAAGGCGAUGAUGGGUAGCUGGUCUGAGAGGAUGGUCAGCCACACUGGGACUGAGACACUGCCCAGACUCCUACGGGAGGCUGCAGUCGAGAAUCUUGGGCAAUGCGCGAAAGCGUGACCCAGCAAUGCCGCGUGCGCGAUGAAGGUCUUCGGAUUGUAAAGCGCUGUCAACCGGGACGAAAAAUGACGGUACCGGUGGAGGAAGCCACGGCUAACUACGUGCCAGCCGCCGC